rnacentral:lncRNA from 1 species
UGCGUUGUCAAUCUCUAGCUAGGGGUUAAAUUGAAGUUCACAUGAAUACGGAUUUAAAGAGGUCGACUCCUUCACUUGCAAGUGAAUAACUAAUUAUCAAUUUUUCUCAACGUAAUUUGACAAAAUUGAACCUUUUUGGCUGCUAAAAGCGAAUUUUUAUUUCACUAUUUCACUUUCAUUAUUGAUUGAACAAAAAUAUCAAACUUUAGAUUUUUUAUAUAUCUCGUAGCUAGUGCCCCUUGAACAUACAUUCCUGUAAAUGAUUUUCUUCCCGAAAAUUUAGAAUAUAAUAUCAAUAAACACAAACGUAAUCUCGGCCACUUAGGCUGAACAAAAAAUAAAAUAAAAUGCAAUUUCAAUUUUAUAUUUACUAGUAAACAUGCCAUAUACUGAAUGUGCAUGACCCUAUUCAGUAUUUUUUCGUCAAUUUUGUUCCCUAUCUUUUUGUUGUAAAAUAGUCGCUUUACAUGCUAUAAUUGUUAUUGAUUUUUUUAAGUGGUUUUCUCUUUAAAGUUUUAUUUUGUAGUUAUGGACUGGAUUCAUGUUGGGUCUUUGUAGGAGACGUUUACCCAGUCGAUGCACCAAGUAUCGCUCUUUUUGGAACUGAUAUUCCAUUUAUUUAUGUUUGUAACCAUAUUUUUGAUUCUUCCAAUCAAUUAAUGCGAUUUGAACCUCGGUACACUACUGUUGUAUUUAUUAGGUCUUUCUAUAUUCUCCGUGAAAAGACCUUUUUAUUUUGUUCUAAAUAUAUACAUUUUCUUCCGCUUAAUUUUUGUCCUCGUGCAAUAUUGUUGUUCCGCUAGAUGUCGUAUAGAUAUUUGGUAUAUGAUAUCGAACAGUUUAUAUGCUUUUAAAACUGACACCGUUUAGCCAAACUCUUUACGUUUGAAGAGUUUUUGUCGAGUCUACUACUCCUAUGCAACCGUAAAAGAUUAACACAAUUUAUUUAACAAAAUUGCUUGUUACAUCUUAAGAGUUAUGAUGACUAAUAUUUGACCGAAACUUUGUGC